rnacentral:lncRNA from 1 species
AUCUUACUACAGAUUAAGUGUUAUUCACAUUAAUUUUCAUUAACAUUCUUGUGUUGCGACAGCCAUGAUUAACUGCAAUGUGUAUGAACGCAUUUUCAAGCGCUUCGAUGAAGAUGGUGAUGGGAAACUCUCUCCUUCGGAGCUCCGACGCUGCUUGGGGACGAUAGGGGAGGAGCUGCUGAUGGAGGAGGCGCAAGAGUUGGUGGAGUCGAUGGACUCGGACGGAGAUGGGUUGCUGGGAUUGGAGGAAUUUGUGGGGUGGAUGGAGAGAGAGGGUGAAGAGAGAAAGAUGGAGGAUUUGAGAGAGGCCUUUAGGAUGUAUGAGAUGGAAGGGAGUGGGUGUAUAACUGCAAAGAGCUUGAAGAGGAUGCUGAGUAGAUUGGGGGAGUCAAGAAGUGUGGAAGAGUGCAGUGUUAUGAUCGGACAGUUUGAUGUAAAUGGGGAUGGGGUUCUGAGCUUUGAUGAGUUCAAGCUCAUGAUGCUUUAAUCUUGUUUAACAUCUUUCAUCUGAAUGUUGUAUUUUUUUUUUAGAUUUAAGAAGAGUGGUUUGUAUUCAAAAAUUAAGAUACUCCUCAUUGCUUUCCUCGUGCACAUGGUGAAGAAAAUACUCCCUAUUCUAUAUUUGAUUUUGCAAAAAAAUUCCUUUUACGGCAAAGAGCAAGUGUGAUAAAAUUUAAGUUGAUUUUUAAAUUAAAUUGUUAAUUCAAAUCAUUUUCUCUCUCUGUUUGUAAAAUAUUCAUAUUAAAAAUAUUAUAAAAAUACAUAAUAUUAUUACAUAAAAUAAUAAUGAAAUAUAUAUCAUGGAAAAAAUGAAGUAUUAAAUUAUUUUAUAUUUUUAAAAAGUUAUUUAGUCUAAGUUAUUGUUUUGCAUUAUUUUAACUUUAAAUUAUAUAGAAUUAAUUUACCAAUAUGCCUAGACCCCAUUUGAAAUAGAGUUUAACUUUUGCCCUAAUAAUAAAUAAGUAGAAGUAUAAGUAUUAUUGGUGUAAUUGAAUUUUAUAUUUUGGAAUGAUAUCUAUCCCCGCAAAUUUUGGCAGUCUUAUAAAAAAAGUAAAACUGUUGAAAAAAUAUUAGAAUAAAAUUUUUGCAUUAAAAUAAUUAUCGGGGUGCACAAUCCAUAGGACGAUAAUGAAUUGGAGUUGAAGAUCAAUUAAGGACCUUAUUUUUUUUUUUUAAGUGGGAAGUUGUUUUUCAUAAUUUUAUCAUUGAAGUUAUCAGUAUUUGUAAGUGAAAUUAGAGAAUUAAAUUUGGAAUACUGAAGAUUUGAUUAUUUAAUUCAAGAAGUUUGGUUUCUUAAAGUUAACAACUUGUCUAAUUUAUUUAGGAAAUUAGUUAAUAAGAGAAUAUUUAUUUUCAAUUUUCUUUUGAUUUUGUCUUUUUUUAUUGAGGAAAUUUGUUAAUAAAAAAUAUAUAUUUUUAAUUCUCUCCUAAACUUUAAUGAUUUGAUUUAAUUUUAUUUUGUAAUACUUUUAAAUUUCAUGAGGUGUCACAUUUGAAUUAAGGAGUUACAAUUUUGAAGAAUAGUUUAGUGGUAAUUUCAUGCACCAAAUUUUUUAUAUCUAUAUUAUCAUCAAUGUUUUUAGAAUUGGAUCAGUCAUUAAACCGGAAAAGUUAUUGAUUCACAGUUUACUGGUUGGACCAACGAUCUAACCGCGGUCGAACCGGUACCGUCAUAAAUUUAUAUUUUAUUAUUUUAUAUAUUAUUAAAAUUUUAAAAAUUACAAAAAAAUAAUAUAUUUUAUCUAAAUUUUUACAAUAUCUAUCAAAAUUCUGAUCAACAAAUAAAAAUAACACAUUAAAUAAUAAAUAUAAAAGUAAUAAAACAAAAAAAUAAAUUUAAAAAAUAAAAAUCAAACAUUGGAGCAGCUACUGCACAGGCCGAGGAGGGGGGUGUGUGAUCUACAACGGGUGUCGCCAGGGUGGGGGAGAUUUAUAGCCGCUGGAGUGGGGGCUUACAAUAGGGGAAGGGGGAUUGGGGGGUUAUAGCAUGCCGAAGGAGGUUUAUAGCGGCAAGGGGUGGCUUACCGGCUUGCAACGGCACGAUGGGGAAAAGGUGACUCAAGCAACGGUCUUACGACCGAUGGAGGGAGAUUUUGCAUGGUGAAAUGACCGACAGUGGGAGCUUGUCGCGGUGGGUGAGGGGCGGGCGACAACUGCUAUGGUUUGGAGAGAGAGGGUUUGGAAGGAGGUUUUAUAUCUUCCAAAACAACGUUGUUUUGAUGCUAAAAAAAAAAAUUUAAUCGAACUGUCUAGUUUGAAGGGAAAUGGCCCGUUCGUUCGGUUCAUCAAUCGAAUCACCAAUUCAGUCGGUCCGAUCCUGGUUCAACCUAUUUCCGGUCUAAUUGAUCGGAUCGGACCAGAAUCAUGACCAACCGACGAUUGGACCUGCCUGUUUAGUCCGGUUUUUAAAACCAUGAUUAUCAUAAAAUAAGAAAUAUUUUUAUUAAGGUAAUAUUUAAUUCUCGAAAAAUUUGAGGGAAAUAAAAUAGAUAGAAAAAUUAGAAGAAAAAAAUAGAUAAUAAAUUUAAAAUCAAUAAAUUAUUUUUAUAUAUUACUUUAAACUUAUUUUACUUAUUUAACUAUUUUAUAUAAGGAUUAAAUAAUUUUAAAAUAAUAAAUUUUUAAUUAAAUUUAAUUAUAUUUGAUUUUUUUUUAUAGUAGAAUCAAAUAUAAGAAAAUUAUUUUUUGAUAUUUUUUAUUUUUGUAGUAUGAACGCACACUUGGAUAAGAUUGAAAGUUGUGGGCCACAUUUAAAAAUUCUUUUCAAACAAUACUAAUUUUGAUGGAAAACUCUUUUAAGAGGAUUUUAACAUGUUUAAUAAUUUAAAUUAAGUAAUUAAAUCAUAUUAAAUUAUUAAAUAAUUAAUUUAUCAAAUAUUUCUAAAUCUUUUAAUCAAAAUGAAAAAAAUAUUUGUUAUAUAUAUAUAUAUAUAUAUAUAUAUAUGUUCAUCCACGGUGACGAGUUAUUGGAAUAGUGUAGAAGUAGAUAGGUUGUUUGAACUUUGAAGUAGUUCAGAAGUUUGCUUGUCGGAAGACCACUAUUUUAAAAAAAAAAAACAAAUUAUUAUUAUUAUUAUUAUUUUAUUUUUAAUUUUGUAACAUGAAGUCUAUCGUGUUACUCGUCUGUCGCAUCAUUUCCACAUCAUGUCCAAGUGGAUUGAAAAAGCAAACAAGCCAGAAGAAAAGUAUUCAUUUACGAGGAGGGUUUGACCCUCGUACAGUGGAAUUCCAGCACAAAGCCUAGCAAUUUCUCACUUUCUGCCUCCGAAACCUGCCAAUACGCACUCCGUGACGUCUCCAACACUCGCUUCGCUUCAUUCUCCGGAACUUCCUAGUAAAGUAUCAAUUCUUCACUCCCAAAAUCUCUAUACCCAACAGCUCCAUCUACUCCUUUUACGCGUCCUCACAACAGCUAUAUAUAUGCACACACAAAGUGUUCAUCCUCACAUCUUCACAUCUUACCACAUAUUAAGUGUUAUUCACAUCAAUUUUCAUUAAUAUCCUUGUGUUGCGACAGCCAUGAUCAACUGCAAUGUGUAUGAACACAUUUUCAAGCGCUUCGAUGAAGAUGGUGAUGGGAAACUCUCUCCUUCGGAGCUCCGACGCUGCUUGGGGACGAUAGGGGAGGAACUGAUGAUGGAGGAGGCGCAGGAGGUGGUGGAGUCGAUGGACUCGGACGGAGAUGGGUUGCUGGGAUUGGAGGAAUUUGUGGGGUGGAUGGAGAGAGAGGGUGAAGAGAGAAAGAUGGAGGAUUUGAGAGAGGCCUUUAGGAUGUAUGAGAUG